rnacentral:rRNA from 1 species
GCUGGCGGAAUGCUUAACACAUGCAAGUCGUGCGGUAACACUUCGGGUGACGAGCGGCGGACGGGUGCGUAACGCGUGAGAAUCUACCUUUUAGUGGGGGACAACUCGGGGAAACUCGAGCUAAUACCGCAUAUGUUCUAUGGAAUAAAGCAGGGGACCUUCGGGCCUUGCGCUAAAAGAUGAGCUCGCGUGAGAUUAGCUUGUUGGUGAGGUAAAAGCUCACCAAGGCGACGAUCUCUAGCUGGUCUGAGAGGAUGAUCAGCCACACUGGGACUGAGACACGGCCCAGACUCCUACGGGAGGCAGCAGUGGGGAAUAUUGGACAAUGGGGGCAACCCUGAUCCAGCAAUUCCGCGUGUGUGAAGAAGGCCUGCGGGUUGUAAAGCACUUUCAGUAGCCAAGAUGGGAUUAUUCGCUAAUAUCGGAUAGUCUUGACAUUAACUACAGAAGAAGCACCGGCUAAC